AACGUAUUAUUGCUUUUAAAUAUGAUGAAGAUCAGAGUCAUACUGCUGCAUUUAUUAGUAGUACAAUUGUUGAAGUUGUCGAAUUUUAUAAUCUAAACUAAAAAGUUUUGUGUAUGUCUUUUGAUAAUGCUUCAAACAACAAUGCUGCUGUUUCAAUUUUAAAAUUGAAUUUACAUCCACCUCUUGAUGAUAUUUUUCAUGUUAGAUGUGCANNNNNNN
rnacentral:lncRNA from 1 species